rnacentral:rRNA from 1 species
UACGGAGGGGGGCUAGCGUUGUUCGGAAUUACUGGGCGUAAAGCGCGUGUAGGCGGCUCGGAUAGUCGGGUGUGAAAGCCCUGGGCUCAACCCAGGAAGUGCACUCGAUACUGCCGAGCUGGAGUCCCGGAGAGGAUGGCGGAAUUCUCGGUGUAGAGGUGAAAUUCGUAGAUAUCGAGAGGAACACCUGUGGCGAAGGCGGCCUUCUGGACGGUGACUGACGCUGAGACGCGAAAGCGUGGGGAGCAAACAGG